rnacentral:rRNA from 1 species
CCUACGGGCGACUGCAGUGGGGAAUAUUGGGCAAUGGGCGCAAGCCUGACCCAGCCACGCCGCGUGAAGGAAGAAGGCCUUCCGGUUGUUAACCUCUUUUAUUAGGGACGUAGCAAGUGACGGUACUUGAUGAAUAAGUCACGGCUAACUACGUGCCAGCAGCCGCGGUAAUCCGUAGGUGGCAAGCGUUAUCCGGAUUUACUGGGUGUAAAGGGAGUGUAGGUGGGAGUGCAAGUCAGAUGUGAAAACUAUGGGCUCAACCCAUAGUCUGCAUUUGAAACUGUACUUCUUGAGUUCAGGGGAGGCAGGCGGAAUUCCGGGUGUAGCGGUGAAAUGCGUAGAUAUACGGAAGAACACCGAUGGCGAAGGCAGAUUACUAGACAGUAACUGACACUGAGGCGCGAAAGCGUGGGGAGCAAACAGGAUUAGAUACCCCGGUAGUC